UCGAGGGGCGAGCGAUUGGGAGUAGCUUGCUAUUCAGAUGGCGACCGGCGCACGGGUGAGUAACGCGUAUCCAACCUUCCUGCCAGUAGGGAACAGCCCGGCGAAAGUCGGAUUAAUGCCCUAUGUUCUUCAAUGCGGACAUCUAAGUUGAAGGAAAGAUUCAUCGCUGGCAGAUGGGGAUGCGUCCGAUUAGCUUGCCGGCGGGGUAACGGCCCACCGGGGCGACGAUCGGUAGGGGUUCUGAGAGGAAGGUCCCCCACACUGGUACUGAGACACGGACCAGACUCCUACGGGAGGCAGCAGUGAGGAAUAUUGGUCAAUGGGCGUAAGCCUGAACCAGCCAAGUAGCGUGCAGGAUGACGGCCCUACGGGUUGUAAACUGCUUUUAUGCGGGGAUAAAGUGCGGCACGUGUGCCGCUUUGCAGGUACCGCAUGAAUAAGGACCGGCUAAUUCCGUGCCAGCCGCCGC
rnacentral:rRNA from 1 species